AGUUCUUUGACAGAAAAAUGUGUUAAGUUUAGAACUUAAAAAUAAGAUUAAAUCUUAAGAACUA
rnacentral:tRNA from 1 species